UACACGCUCCCUUAGAUCCACUUCUGGGGCAUGUCACAUUUCACUUCCUGGACUGUUUGGUCUUGUCCUUAGAGUCCAUUGAAAGGGAAAUAUCUCAUUGAGAUGGGAUGCCCAGCAACUUUGGUUGUACUGUCGGAAGUGCUUGAGUCAUUGGCGUGUCAGAGCAUUAUACCUGUGUGUUGGGCCAAUUGCCCCACUAGACGUGCCCAGUUGCAGCUGGACGCAUUUUGCUAGUGGGGCUGGCGCGGGGCACGGACAUU
rnacentral:snoRNA from 1 species